rnacentral:rRNA from 1 species
CCUACGGGUGGCAGCAGUGAGGAAUAUUGGUCAAUGGCCGGAAGGCUGAACCAGCCAAGCCGCGUGAAGGAAGAAGGUGCCAAGCAUUGUAAACUUCUUUUGUCAAGGGACAAAAUCAGGCUCGAGAGCCUGACCGAGGGUACUUGAAGAAAAAGCAUCGGCUAACUCCGUGCAAGCAGCCGCGGUAAUACGGAGGAUGCGAGCGUUAUCCGGAGUUAUUGGGUUUAAAGGGUGCGUAGGCGGACUGUUAAGUCAGCGGUAAAAGCCCGGGGCUCAACCCCGGCGAGCCGUUGAAACUGGCUGUCUAGAGAUGUCGAGAGGUAUGCGGAAUGCGCAGUGUAGCGGUGAAAUGCUUAGAUAUUGCGCAGAACUCCGAUUGCGAAGGCAGCAUACCGGCGGCGAUCUGACGCUGAGGCACGAAAGCGUGGGUAUCGAACAGGAUUAGAUACCCUAGUAGUC